GUGGUCAUUUUAGAGGCUUUGGAUACAGUAUAUUUUUUGUGUUGUCAUGGGGUUCUGAAAAUGAACAAAUUGUGAGGAUUGCCCACUGUAGAACAUGUUACGUAGAGUUGUCCGUAUGAAAAGCAUGGAUUUUCCAAAUUGAUGCCUUUAACUUGGAGUGAUUGCACUUCAGCCUUAGUAAUUCACAUAUCCAAACGAAUAGGAAAUUGUAGCCUUUUGAAAUCAAAGGGUAAAUCAUUUGGAAUCAACGGAAUUCUUUGUAUGAAAACAUGUUGAUGUCUUGCGCAAGGUUUGAGACGGUCUUGAAAUAGAGUUUUUUGAGCAGGAAAUUAUAGACAUUUGAAAUCAAAGGGUAAAUUAUUCGGAAUCAGCGUAAUUCUUGGUAUGAAAACAUCUUGACGUCUUGCGCAAUGUUUGAGACGGUCUUGAAAUAGAGUUUUUUGUGGCAUCGGAAGUGGACUUUUUAAUGCCACGUCAUUUUUUUUGGUGGCAUUGGUAUAUUAGUGAAAAGCAGGACAGUGAUAAUGUGUCACAUGGUAGUACGUACGGAAUAAGCACCAGAGUGAGAUGAAUGAGCGUUAUUUACAAUACGUUGGAAAGCGAACAAAUAGCACCAAUCAGUCAGAAAGACCAAGACUGAAAUCUUACUGUGAGUUGGAAAGUGAGCAUAUAGCACCACAAAUACACAAAGCCAGUCGCGUGCAUUGGGUCGUUCACGUUUUACAUCCAUGGCAGUUCCCCUUCACGCGAUGAAAGUAAUCCGCUUUCUAAUACUUGGACACUUCCGCAAUGUCUUGGCAAUUUAAAGAAACAUUGGUAAAGAGGGAUGCACAGAGACCAAAUGUGCCGCUAGAUGGCGCCGCCGUUAACGUCUGUUGCAACGUGCGGCCAUCUUGUCGAUGAUAAGUACGGGGACUUUUUGCGAAUUUUGUGUCGGUCAAAAGGUGUCCUGCGCUUGGCCAAGGACAUUUUUCCCAACCCAACAUACCCCAUGACCUCCUCCUGGUCACAAAGCAACCCCAUGCCCAGUUUGGUGGCGAUCGGAUGCCCGGUACAGAUUUGUAUAGCAGACAAACAAACAUACAUAGACUCUGCUUUAUAUAUUAGAAGACUGAUCUCAUGCAUCCAAUGGAACGUUUUUGCUUCCUAACAAUGCCGGUUGCUUUUUCUUUUUCUAAAGUCUGAGAACAUCCACUAAGCAUAAUCCAUUACAGGAAUUAUCUGGAAGCUUCUCCAUUGCACUUAGAAUCCACAACCAUGUCAUAAGCCUUAAUACCAGUCCAAGAACUUGUACAUUACAGACCUGUUUCACAAGAUGGAGGAUGACUAUUUCUCCCCAGUGGCUUCUUUUUUUCCAGUUUAUAUCCUUCCUGUAACACUUUGCUUCACUAUAAAAGUUCUUCCUGUCUUCACAUUACACAAGGCAGUCUUUUCAAAAUAAAAGUAUAGCAAGGACUUAUGGUUUAUGUAACACCCAAACCCGUCUAACUGAAUAGUAUUAGCUUUGUCACACACAGGUAUCCUUUCCUCAGCAAAGACAGUGCCAGAAGUCUGUAAUAAAGGUUAAGAACUCCUGCCUGCAUUUUUUUUUUCAUAAACAUAUCUUAGAAAUGUAUACGUCAUGUUGUCUGUAAUCAUAAGCUUUGCUGCUUCAAAAUGGAUCUAUGAGGUGUAUUUUAAAGCACUUGUUUCCCAUUUGCUCUGGUGCCACAUAUAUAACCAUUUUAAGCAGAUGAGGAGGAACCUUGUACAACUUAGAAACGAUUAUUCAAUUAAAGACACAUGUUCUUGGGGCUAAUGAUAGAUAGUAUGUGAAAACCUAGCUUUGCCUUCAAAAAUAGCAAACUUGUUUCAUUGUGUCCUGAAGUUUUAUGUCGAGCAUGUUAACAUUCUAAUGUGUUGUACGUUUUCUUUUUAGUGAUGUAACCAUUGGCUCCCCCAUAUUACCCCCCAGUUGGCCACCUUCACAUCUUAAUUCAUUUGACGUGUGCCUCUGUUUCCUCCAGUCUCAUUAAUCCCUCCAGUUAUUCCAGACUAGGCCUGCAGUGGCUGAAUUAUUUACAUUUGUUUUGUGAGAAGCUUUGCUGUCAGGCAUCAUGCGUCUGUAAGUUUGAGGAAAAGGGCUGAAGUCUGUCAGCUGUGGAGACUAUCAAAGCACAGCUCGGCAAUAAAGUGCAAAUUGCUAAUAAUUUUAUUCAUUUUUCAUACCUACAUAUUUGCAAUGAGGUGCUAAACUUAGGAACAGCCCCUAAAGGCAUAUACUCUCAAACCAGCCCAUGUCAUGUCACCUUUCAUCUUCUUCAUAAAGCAAACCAGAACACACAACUCUUGUACAAAAAGAGUGCGAAAGCUGUGCACCGUGGACGAAUGGCAUCACAAGUGAGAAGUGCAAGCACAUUUGUCAGAUUCUCCUCCUUCUGUCUGGUCAUCUUCACUUGAAUUGCGUUUGAUGCCUUAUUGAGCUGAAUAAUCUGGUUGAAAAGUAUAAUGAAGUUACAGCAUGUCUGCCUAAAAUCCUUGAGACACAACAGACUAUAAAGCAGCAAAAUUGACAGAAGAAGAUAGUGGGUUUCUUGUCUCAUCUUACUAACCACCAUGUUACAAGACCCAUCCAUCCAUUAAUUUACUGAACCUGCUAGAUCCAGUUAAAUUUACCGCAGCAGCAUCGGGUUCAGGGUAAUAAGCACAAACUCUGAAAAUUGAUUCCCAUGAACAUUCUGUAAGCUAUGAUAGAAGUUUGCACAAACAACAUCCUUCACCUAUGGACUGUCUUUUCCACUGUAAAUGACAUGGAGGUGGGAGGUUGCAGGGUAGGGGCUGUCACCUAAAAAACCACAAACAUAGCUGGCACAGCACCACAUUUGUGUUGGCAAGUACAGGUCAGCAGCCACUGAAAACCGCAUGACCUUUGUCUUUGUCUGUCACUACUGGGCUGGCAUUGGUAAAUCAUAUAAUCCUUUUGUUAGAAGCCCUAAGCCCCCACUUAACUCUUUUAGGUAUGGUAAAGCAGAAAGUUGCAUGUCCAUUCUGUGUGUACAGCUCCAUAGCUGCCAGAAAUGAUCAGGUUGUUUCGGUGAGGCACUGGGUACAAACACAAAGUUAGGUCUGCUCACAAAGCCUCAUCUCAAUUCACACUAACUGGUCAAACACCAAAAUGGGGGACACACAAGCCAACAAUGCAAGUUUCCACACCCCAUCUUGGCAUUCAUUUGUGUCAGAUGUUAAAACUAUGGAAGAUGGAUUGCAAUCAGUAAAGAAAAAAAUGUGGUGUGGCCUGAAAAUGUGCAGAGGACAGCAGUUCUAUGAGCUGUGCCAUCAUAAUUUACAAUCGGUUGCAUUUGUGAAACGGGCACAAGCCUGUUCGAAAUGACCAGCUUUUUUAAAUGCUGACCAUUGAUGGAAAUUGUGGAUCCUUAUUCUUUCCCAAGUUCAAAGACUUGUCAAACUUCCUAUGCAGGUACCUUCCAACCUCUCAUGCACAGCUAUCAUAUUAGCCUUAUGUUUUUAAUAAGUACAUUUCUAUACAAAGUAAAACAGGGAUCUUUGAUGUUUUUCUGAUUCUGAUCACCACAAGCCUAUCCUUACACGGCGUGUCUAUUGAAAGUGAAACUUGCUACUUGAUUUAGCAGGAAUGUUCUCAGUCACUGCAGGGCCACUUCAUGUAACACCAGCAUAUUUGAUUUGCUUCUUCAAGUGCGGUUGAUGUUGUCUUGAAGGUGUUGCACGGGGUUAAAACUGAAAAGGUUUUCAAAAAGUUGGGUAAAAAGGACAAAUGAAAUAAGACGCAUACCUGUGAGGUAAUGAAAGUAGAAGGUGCCAAAUGUUGUUUGUUCUGGCCUGUUCAUGGAGCAAAUCUUGAAAAGCUUUUCAAAACUGACUUCAGUGGCCAUGGGAUUGCUGAUAGUCCACUCUGGCAGCCUUGACGCAUCAGUCAGACACUCCUUUGCUACACUACUAGCAAAAAGGUGGCUUUUUAAAUCAAAAAACAGAAAUUGAACUUUGAUUUGAUUUUGUCUGUUGUUUUUGACUGGUAUUGCCUUUGUGACCGGCUAUGCUGUACUAGAGAUAUUUUACAACUGCCAAACCAAUCAUUGACUGAGGCCUUUAUUUAAUAUAGUGCCUUCACAAGAGGCUACUACAGAGCUGUAGCUGGCAAAUACUGUUUUUAAUCUGAAGCAGUGAUUGUUGUUUUAUGAAGCACCACUCAUGUUGCAUUACCAAGCAAACACUUAAACAACUGAGUCACUUAAGGCAGUGUGGCUUCUAAUCCCUGUCCUGGGGGGUCCUGUUGUGGUUGUAGAUUUUUGUUUCCUAAUCAAUUAGUUCUUUUCUCUGUAUUUGAUCUCAUUGUUUAGAUAGCUUUUCUGCAUUUAGGAAAGAGCAGUAUUAAUAUAUAUAUGCAAUCGUGUUUUUACCAUAGCUGAUCAUUCUGAACUCUCUAGUUGGCUCCCGGUAUCGUAUCCUAAUCACAACAACAAACACAGCAGACUCUGGGACAGAUGACGUGGAAUGAUGAAAGGCACGGCACCAGAGAACUCAAAACUGGGCUCACUCAUUUUUAGUGGAAUGUACCAAGCAUUUAUAUGUGCUACUGGGAGGCGAUUUAUCGUUUUUUUUACAAUCGUCAUCAUUAGGAUUUUUAUUCCGCUAAAAAUGAAAGACCAGUUAGUUAAACAAUGAGAUCACACAGAGGGAAAAUGAGAGGAGAAAUGGGGCAUAGAGCCCCAGCUGACCCUCUCUUGUCCUCGCAUUAUAGAAAUAAUGGAGACAGUUGUACACUGCCGUUAUGAUUUAUAGUUUUCUUUGGAUGUGUCAAGUGCUAAUUAAAGUAAGUAGUUGUGCAUUUUAUGUGUAGUAAAAGUCGCUUAUGCUGCAAAUGAUGUUAUACAAGUUAAACAUAGCCUGGAUUAUUACAUAAAGUAUUAUGAAAAGUGCUAUAUAGAAUAAAAAGUGGGUGAACCUUAAGAGUGGGGGGUCUUAGUGACCCCUGAAUACAGCCAGCAGGUGAGCAGCUGGGACAACAUUACUGGAGUAAUGGCAAAGGCAUAGCUAUUUCAAGUUGCAGGCUCCUGGCUGACUUUUCAUGCCAGACUUGCACUCCAUCCCUAAAAUGAGUUGUCAGAAGUCAAACCCUUUUGAUUUGUAAUAUCAGAGUGAGAUGGAAAGGGCCAGACUGACUAAACUUCAAAUUUCUCCUCCUGAUACUCCUGCUUUCAUGUAGCUGCCGCGGCAUUCGUUAAAGAAGCAAGAGAAAGCAACACACCACAUCAGGCUUGAAAUAUUAAGAAUGAUGAGACCUUUGGAAAAAUCAAUGCCAGGCUGGCAUCCAGCCUUGGGAGGGUCCUGUGGAGGAGCAGAUGGAUUACCAGCUUUAACCUGACGCUUUCUUUAUAUAAUGUCAGGAAGAUUUCUAAGACUUUGUAGACAUUUCUAAAUUAUUUUUAAAAUGAUUUCAGUGGUUUGACUAUUAAUUUAUGAGAUCCUGUCAAGCCCGGCAAUACAUUUAUGUAGAGUUUGAGAAAUAGUCUGUGGCAUGUAGUGGAUUCACAAUAAAAUGUCAUCUCCUAUUUAAAUGACUGCACAUCUACCUGUUAGCUGCUGCAGAUGUCAGAAGAGCAGUUCAUAGUAAAACAUCCACAGUGCACUUAAGGGGAGAACGGCGAAGUGGCAGAGGACCUGUGCACCAUCACAAAGCCUAAAAAUGACAAAUGCAGGGAGCAUUGCUUAGUGGAGCUACCAUUGUGCUACUGCAGCAUCCUCACUAGCUGCUGUGAACGUGCUCAGUCGUGACUUGAUGGCCAUCGCUUUGUGUGUGUGUGUCUGUCUGUCUGUGUGUUUGUGCGCGCACAUGUGUGCCUUUUGGCAGAAAUGGCUUUCAUUCUCAGAAAGCAUAAUCAUUGCCUUAAUUAACAUAUUUGUAAGAAGAAAUAAAUCAGAACUGAGUCUUACGUACCUUCAAAAGCUCAACGGUAAAGAAAAUGUAACAAAAAUCAACAAAUCCAUGCAUGGACUGGUACCAGGGGUGGGCACUCACAAGAUGCCAUGCCCACGUCGUGUCUGUGGCUUGUGCAGCAUGCCGUUUCUACUGUUUCUCUCUCUGAGAUUUUGUUUAUACGCAGUUUGAAAUGACAAUGUAUAUAUGACAUUUAGAAGUGCUGUACAGAUGUCCAAAAUCAUUUCUAUCAUGCAGAUGUAACAGACAUUUUAGCACCUGAUUGUGUCAUUUCAGAUCCACACAGCAUGCCUUUUUCCUCUGGACAAAUAAAAGAUGUUUGAAGAGCACAA